UACAGAGGAUGCAAGCGUUAUCCGGAAUGAUUGGGCGUAAAGCGUCUGUAGGUGGCUUUUUAAGUCCGCCGUCAAAUCCCAGGGCUCAACCCUGGACAGGCGGUGGAAACUACCAAGCUGGAGUACGGUAGGGGCAGAGGGAAUUUCCGGUGGAGCGGUGAAAUGCGUAGAGAUCGGAAAGAACACCAAUUGCGAAGGCAGCUGGCUACGCGAAUAUUGACACUGAUGCACGAAAGCGUGGGGAUCAAACAGG
rnacentral:rRNA from 1 species